CUGUCUCCCUCCUUCCCCGCCCUUCGGUCCUGUGUUGGGCAACUAAGGAUGCCACUACUUUGGAUAUGGAAGACGGCCAAGCAUGGUGGUGCCAGCUCCUGGGAGACAGAGGCAGGUAGCAGAGAAGAACAAGGGGAUGGGCCCUCCCCGGGAGCAUUUUACAAACCAUGGAGACAACACAAAAGUAGCGGCAGGGAGCGUGAGGGCUGAGACGGGACAUCCCAGAGGGCAGCCUUCGCGGUCAAGCUGGGCACCUCCGACUCUCAGGAGGGCCACACCCAAGCCUGCCUUCCCCACCCAUUUGAGGAAUGGACUUUUGGGUUAGCUGGAAAGAAGAGCAGCUGAGAGAGGCUCCUGAUCAGGCCUCGAUCCCAUCUCUGGCAGGGAGUGCUACAAAACCAAAAAUAAACCUAGCCUAAUUGCUGGAUCGCCAGGCCCACGAUGACAUCGCAGGAUAAAAAAGACUAAGCAGACCACUUCAGGUUCUUCCAGCUUGCGGUACCAUGGCUUUGAGGGUCCUGCUGCUCGGCCCCAUGUCCCCAAAGCCAUGGCAGGGCCUCCCUUGGAUCCUUUCAUCAGGGGAAGGAGUGAGGUAUAAGGGCUUCGUGCCUUCCCAAAUGUUUUCUGGAGACAGAGGAUAUGAGGGCACCAAGAGCUGAAAAGUAGCACUGUCCCACUGUGCACCAGAUUGGGGGGGGUUACACCUGCAGUCCAGACUUCUAGGGGAGCCCCAACUUCAAAUACUCUGGUCACUCAGACCACAUAUACCAAUUUUUGGCAAAACAUGGUCACUGAGAGAAACAACCACAAGAGAAGCUGAGAGAGGACAAUGACUUUGGUAUGAGGAAGACGUCCUCUCAGCAUCUCUUACCUACAGUCUUGAAGCCCAGACAACUGCCCUAGUCAGGAACUCUCCUAUUUCCUCAAGGUAUUUGGUGCUCCGAGGGGAAUGGAGUAAGUCAGGUGCAGGGGAAGCAAAGGGACACAGAGAAAAAGAAAGAAAUCCCCAUUUGUCUCCUGAACCCAAGGAAAGGGGCUCUACCUCAGGGAGCCAAGGAACCUUGAACAUUCGACUCCAAGAGCUACAGCAGCAGCCAUGGGGCUAUACAGGUAUUGUAGGCACGGGUGUUGGGGUCAUCUGCGCACAGGACAUCCUUGCUCUCUAAAACUUCCUCCAGCCCAUUUUCUCUUGCAGCCUCUGGUUAGACUCUAGGAAUGGCUCUGCUCAACCAGGCUUUAGCUUCCUGGAUCUCUGAAGGUACUCAGUGCACAAGUUCCCAGAAAAAAACAAAAACAAAACCAACAACAACAGAAGACAAGCAACCCAGGCUUUUCUGCCUGUCCGCCUCAGUUCCUUUUCUGCUUCCAGGAAACAUGUUUCUGCUCCAUGGAGAUGGGAUGCCAGUGGUGGAAGACAAGGAAAGAAAGAGAGCCACUCUGCAGGAGCACGGUGGAAAAGAGUUCUGGGAAAGGGACCCCGCACUUGUCCAGAGGGUC
rnacentral:lncRNA from 1 species